CACACAGACACCCGCGGAGAGCGGAGGGCAGGCACGAACACACCCCCGCGGGGAGGGCAGUCACCAGUACACACAGCACGGGGGGCAACCACGAUCAGAAGUGAUAUGUCAGAGACUCUGGAUGAGACCAUUCCACUCAUUAAAGACAAGGUGCUGGAGAGGAACCACAUCUGUGCCAAAGCUGAUAAACUAGAGACAUCCUCUGCCAGCAGCUUACCCCUAUGACCUGCCAGAACUCCACUGAACUGAAGACUUUUUUCCUGUGGACUAUUUCCAGUGAAAUGGCUGAAACAAAGAAGAGUCUUAAUGGUCUUUGUGCUGCUGUGCUCCCAAAGCCCAGGCAGCCUCCUAGUUCCGAGCUCCCACUGGACACAGGGAAUGUCAGUGGCAGCUUGAGCUGCUCCUCUGUGAGCAUAGCAAGAGGGGACCAGAGAUCUGCUACAGAACUUUGUAAUGGCUGUAAAACUUGGGUAACUUCCAGCUCAUAAAGUUAUAAUGGUGUGACAUUACACAUGGUGUUAAUUUACACAAAUUGGGGUUAAGGUUCUCCCAGUUUUAUUGGGCUCUUUACCUCUUCUGCUUUCUGACUUCCUCAAAAGUGUGGUUAGCCUCAAAUCUGAGGGGAAUCCGAGCCCAGCCUCAAAUCCACAUUUGAAGAGUAACUGGUUUGAAAUAGUGGAAAGUUUACGGCAAAACUUAAAAUAAACACCCUCCAUCCUUCUUGAUAUUCUGGUAAGAGACUGAUUUUGUGCAAGACCUUUAAUUUAAUCACUAUAUA